rnacentral:rRNA from 1 species
CCUACGGGAGGCAGCAGUGAGGAAUAUUGGUCAAUGGACGGAAGGCUGAACCAGCCAUGCCGCGUGAAGGAAGACGGCGCUAUGAGUUGUAAACUGCUUUUGUACGAGGGUAAACGCAGAUACGCGUAUCUGUCUGAAAGUAUCGUACGAAUAAGGAUCGGCUAACUCCGUGCCAGCAGCCGCGGUAAUACGGAGGAUUCAAGCGUUAUCCGGAUUUAUUGGGUUUAAAGGGUGCGUAGGCGGUCGGAUAAGUUAGAGGUGAAAUCCCGAGGCUCAACUUCGGAAGUGCCUCUGAUACUGUUCGGCUAGAGAGUACUUGCGGUAGGCGGAAUGUGUGGUGUAGCGGUGAAAUGCUUAGAGAUCAUACAGAACACCGAUUGCGAAGGCAGCUUACCAAGCUACUUCUGACGUUGAGGCACGAAAGCGUGGGGAGCAAACAGGAUUAGAUACCCCAGUAGUC